rnacentral:lncRNA from 1 species
CGCUCGCCUAGCGCAUGCGAGGCCUUGGGUUCAAUCCUCAGCACCACAUAAAAAUAAAUAAAUAGAAUGAAGGUAUUGUAUCCAACUACAACUAAAAAACAAAUAUUUAAAAAAAUAAAACACAAGUACCAUCUCUUAGAGAUUUACAGCCAACAAUAUCUAAUCUUUCCCAGCCUCCCAUCCCCACCAACAACCGUUGUCACUUUGGGUCUCUUAUCAAGGAGGGGGCAAAAACAAAACUAACUUUUGAACAAUCUAUUAUGCCCAAACUCUGAGAAGGUGUUAGUUCUAAAAUGCGAAGUAAACUAAGAUGGAACUCUUUAGAUUUGCUUAUUUCCUACAUAGAUUUAUAUAUUGUAGAAGAGAAAAGAUGAUUGGCUACACAGAAUUUCAUUUAGCUGUGUCCCUAGAUUCACUUAAAUCACCAGUCCUUUGAGAUGAUCUCAAAGUAGGCAAAGCCCAAAAAUGAUUUCAGCAAAUGUUCCAGCACUUCUUAACUCUGGCUUCACUUUAUAUUCACCCGGGAGAUUUUAGAAAAAUAACAUUAUGGAUUGAAUAUGAGAUGUCCCGCCAAAGCUCCUGUAUUAAUGAAGCAAUGUUUAGAGGCAAAGCAAUUAGAUAGUAAGAACUGUAACCUAAUCAGUCCAUCCUAGUUUGAAUGGACUGACAGGGUGGAAACUGUAGGCAGGUGGGGUGUGGCUAGAGGAGGUUGGUCACUCAGGGUAUAACCUGGGAGGGAUAUUCUUCAUGUGACUCCUCUCUCUCUCUCUCUCUCUCUCUCUCUCUCUCUCUCUCUCUCUCUCUCUCCCUCUCUCUCUUUCUCUCUCUCUCUCUCCUGAUUCCACCAUAAGCUUUCCUCUGCUGAGCUCUUUCCCUGUGAUGUGCUGCCUUAUCUUGGUCCCAGAGCAAUGGAAUUGGCCACCUAUGGACUGCAACCUCUGAUGCUGUGAGCCCCAAAUAAACUUUUCCUCCUCUAAGUUGUUCUCAUUGGGUACUUUGGUCACAGCAAUGAAAAAGCUGACAUAAACAAAUAGCAAUACAUGAAUCCUAUUAAAUCAAUUGGAUGAACAUUU